CUGGCGGCACGCCUAACACAUGCAAGUCGAACGAAGUAGCAAUACUUAGUGGCAGACGGGUGAGUAACAUGUAGGUAUCUACCCUUUGGCCUGGAAUAACACGAGGAAACUUGUGCUAAUACCGGAUAAGUCUUUACGGAGAAAGCUUUAUGCACCAUUGGAUGAGCCUGCACUUGAUUAGUUUGUUGGUGGGGUAAUGGCCUACCAAGACUGUGAUCAAUAGCUGAUUUGAGAGGAUGAUCAGCCACAUUGGGACUGAGACACGGCCCAAACUCCUACGGGAGGCAGCAGUGGGGAAUCUUGCACAAUGGAGGAAACUCUGAUGCAGCGAUGCCGCGUGAGGAAGAAGGCCCUUGGGUUGUAAAGCUCUUUCGUCGGGGAAGAAAAUGACUGUACCCGAAUAAGAAGGUCCGG
rnacentral:rRNA from 1 species